rnacentral:tRNA from 1 species
GUAAAAAUAAUUUAAAGUUAAAAUGUGGGGUUUCAAACCUUAAAAUGCGAUAAUUGUCGUUUUUUACG